rnacentral:lncRNA from 1 species
GAACGUUUCCAUGUGGAAACUCUGGGCUGGGGUUGAGCAGCAGGGCCCUGUUGGUCAGGACACCGUGACUGCAGUUGCCCCAGUCCCCACCUCUCCCUAUCACACUGCUGCUGUCAAACCCAAGGUGCUGAAGAAUCACCUGGAGGUGUUCGACUUUGUGACCUCUGCCUGCCACAGUGAAUCCAAGAAUCCACAGCUGCGAUUUGUGUUAGGGUACGGAGUUGAAGAAUGUGAAGCAGACCUUGGCUCCCCUCACGGGGUCACAGGCCACGGGGACAGGCAGACUCAAGGAACUGAACUUGUGUAUGUGAGAAGGAGCUACGAUUGCUGCACCAAUCGGGGUACUGAGAUGGAGGAUACUGGGGUGCACGGGGCCUUGUUAAAUCCCCGUGGUGAGGGGCACUUCCCUGAGGUCCUCACCCUCUGGGGAAGGGGCUGGGGGGCAAAUGGGAUUCUGGCCCAAGUGAUCUCCAAUCUCCACCCUAAGGGAUGGAUGCAGAUGGAAAGUCAGGAGGUGUGGGCUCCCCUUCUGGCUCUGGUAACCCCUCGGGUUCCCCACCUCUGUGGAUUUCACCCCCUCAACCCCCACCCAGAGCUCACCAAACCCUGCAGGCUGUCUUGGCCUUGACCUGCGCUGCUUUCUCACUGUCUCUCCCAUGUCCUCUGGCCCCUGGCUACUCCUCACUCUGUGCCUGGUGUGUCGGUGCUCCGUGGAGCCCUGAGGGUGUGCUCAGGGGCCGCCCUCACAAGUUACCCCGUCUCUGGACCUGAGCCUGCAGGACCAUUUGCUCCUACAACCAUAUUCAGGAGAUUGGUCCACUGCUUUCCUGUCCUCACAUCCCCACUGGUCUUCCAGAGUGGGGGCCCAAAA